UAAUAUAUAUUACAAAUAUAUACAUCGAAUAUAUUAUAUUGUUUAUUUUUUUUGGCAAACAUAUUUCGACAUUAGUAGAGCUGCAUGAGCAUCUUAGACAGUUCCUUACACAUCAGGCUCGAAGAUUUAUGCGAGGCGUAGAGAUGAAUUUGUAAGUUUUUUUGAAAUUUUUUGAAACUCUUCGAUCAUAUAUCACGUAUCAUAGAUGAUCUAUAGCUUGCCAAUAUGCUUUUUAUAGUAGAUGGAAGAGCAUAGAAGGGAGCCUGGUAAAGUGGAGUUCUACAGGAUGACUCAUACCUACUGAGAUGGCAACUUUGUUCGGAAGGAGUCGAGAGAUAUAAUUAGCGUGUCAGGGAGUCAUCAUCAUUCUGUGAGACCAAUCACGUCGAAGCUCAGAUGUUUGCUGAAUUGAUAGCUCUAGAGCGUUAUGGUUGAGUGAGGUGUUAUGGCAUUGGAGUUACCCCCAGUCAGUUAUCUGCAGUGAGCAAAUAUACCCCAGAUGCGAAACAAAGUAUUUGCAUUGUAGAGGUUUGUAAUCUAAAGACAGCGAUGGAGGAGAUGAGGGAGAGACAUCAAAUGGAGAUGGAGGAGAUGAGGCAGAACCAUCAAAUAGAGAUACAAUCUUUGAGGCUCAGUUUGACCAGACUGCAUCUAUAUUGCAUAGGUUUGUCCCUCCUCAAAAUUGAGAGAGAAGAUGGACCGGCUCAUGACAAGAGAUUCGUCUGUUCAGUUCGAGUUGAAACUUCAAAUAAUACUUUUAUUACAUUAAGUGACCCCAAGUGAAGGGUGAAGGAUGCUAACACCCCUAUAAGCUUCACUGUGGAAACCAAGUUAACUUUUUUUUUCUUAUUUAGGCUUAGUCAUUUUUUAAUUUACAUUUUAAUGUAGAUCAUUGUUUGUUAGUAUUGUUAUUUUAUGGCAAUUGUAGUAUUUAUUGGCGAUAUGUUCUUGGGGA